rnacentral:misc_RNA from 1 species
UCUCCGUUGGUGAACCAGCGGAGGGAUCAUUAUAGAGUUUUUUAGACUCCCAAACCCAUGUGAACUUACCUUUGUUGCCUCGGCGGAGCCUACCUGGUACCUACCCUGUAGCGCCUUACCCUGGAACGGCUUACCCUGUAACGGCUGCCGGUGGACUACCAAACUCUUGUUAUUUUAUUGUAAUCUGAGCGUCUUAUUUUAAUAAGUCAAAACUUUCAACAACGGAUCUCUUGGUUCUGGCAUCGAUGAAGAACGCAGC